rnacentral:rRNA from 1 species
GAUGAACGCUAGCGGCAGGCUUAAUACAUGCAAGUCGAGGGGCAUCGCAGGGUAGCAAUACCUGGGCGGCGACCGGCAAACGGGUGCGGAACACGUACACAACCUCCCAAUAAGUGGAGAAUAGCCCAGAGAAAUUUGGAUUAAUACCCCGUAACAUAACGAUGUGGCAUCACAUUGUUAUUAUAGGUUUUUCGCUUAUUGAUGGGUGUGCGGCUGAUUAGAUAGUUGGCGGGGUAACGGCCCACCAAGUCUACGAUCAGUAGCUGAUGUGAGAGCAUGAUCAGCCACACGGGCACUGAGACACGGGCCCGACUCCUACGGGAGGCAGCAGUAAGGAAUAUUGGACAAUGGACGCAAGUCUGAUCCAGCCAUGCCGCGUGAAGGAUUAAGGUCCUCUGGAUUGUAAACUUCUUUUAUAAGGGACGAAAAAAGGCUUUUCUAAGUCGUCUGACGGUACCUUAUGAAUAAGCACCGGCUAACUCCGUGCCAGCCGCCGCAGUAAGAC